UAUAUUUUAGUGUAAGAUGCACAAUAGUUUUUGAUAUUAUUAGGUAUAGUUUAAUUCUAUAAAAUAUAA
rnacentral:tRNA from 1 species